rnacentral:rRNA from 1 species
UACAGAGGUCUCAAGCGUUGUUCGGAUUCAUUGGGCGUAAAGGGUGCGUAGGCGGCGCGGUAAGUCGGGGUGUGAAAUCUCGGAGCUUAACUCCGAAACUGCAUUCGAUACUGCCGUGCUUGAGGACUGGAGAGGAGACUGGAAUUUACGGUGUAGCGGUGAAAUGCGUAGAUAUCAGGAGGAACACCGAUGGCGAAGGCAGGUCUCUGGGCCGAUACUGACGCUGAGGAGCGAAAGCGUGGGGGAGCGAACAGG